rnacentral:rRNA from 1 species
UGCCACAUUACUCUUGAGGUGAAAUGCUUACACUUUCAUUUAUAGACCAAAUAAUGUUUAAUAUUUAAUUUUAAAUUAUAAUAUUAAAUCUUAAUCUAACCUAUGGCAUUCAUCAUUUACUGCAAAGACUACUUGGGUAUCUAAUCCUGUUUGUGCUCUGUGCCUUCGUCCUUUAACGUCNGUUUUUACAUAGAGGGCUGCCUUCGCCUUUACCGAGUCCCUUUGGUAUCAUAGAAUUUCAUCUCUCCUCCUCAAGUACUGCCCUCUUACAUAAAACUCUAGUCAAGUACUAACAUUUUAGAAGCUAUAUUGACCGUCUAGGUACCCUUUAAACCUAAUUAAGAUGAAUAACACUAGUCUCUUACGUAUUACCGCGACUGCUGGCACGGAAUUAGUCAAGACACGAUAUAUAUACUGUCAUUAUCAAUAUAUAAACAAAGCUUUAUUCAAUUUAAUACAACCCUAUAGAUCAUAUUCAAAGAUAUGAUCAAAAUAGGGCUUGCCACUUCUCCAAGUUGCCAGUUCAGCCGUUA